GACGAACGCUGGCGGCGUGCUUAACACAUGCAAGUCGAGCGGAAAGGCCCUUCGGGGUACUCGAGCGGCGAACGGGUGAGCAACACGUGAGUAAUCUGCCCUUCACUCUGGGAUAGCCACCGGAAACGGUGAUUAAUACCGGAUACGACCAAUCCCUGCAUGGGGUGUUGGUGGAAACUUUUUUGGGUGGGGGAUGUGCUCGCGGCCUAUCAGCUUGUUGGUGGGGUAAUGGCCUACCAAGGCUUCGACGGGUAGCCGGCCUGAGAGGGUGACCGGCCACACUGGGACUGAGACACGGCCCAGACUCCUACGGGAGGCAGCAGUGGGGAAUAUUGGACAAUGGGCGGAAGCCUGAUCCAGCAACGCCGCGUGAGGGAUGACGGCCUUCGGGUUGUAAACCUCUUUCAGCACCGACGAAGCGCAAGUGACGGUAGGUGCAGAAGAAGGACCGGCCAACUACGUGCCAGCAGCCGCAGUAACAC
rnacentral:rRNA from 1 species